GAUGAACGCUGGCGGCGUGCUUAACACAUGCAAGUCGAACGAAGCAUUUAAGCGGAAGUUUUCGGAUGGAAGCUUUUAUGACUGAGUGGCGGACGGGUGAGUAACGCGUGGGUAACCUGCCCUAUACAGGGGGAUAACAGUUGGAAACGACUGCUAAUACCGCAUAAGCGCACAGUAUCGCAUGAUACGGUGUGAAAAGCUCCGACGGUAUAGGAUGGGCCCGCGUCUGAUUAGCUAGUUGGCAGGUAAUGGCCUACCAAGGCGACGAUCAGUAGGGGUUCUGAGAGGAAGGUCCCCCACAUUGGAACUGAGACACGGUCCAAACUCC
rnacentral:rRNA from 1 species